CGCGCCUUAAAUAACAGUCUCCUUUUAUUUAGUUAGUUUCCUCGGCAGGUUUGGCAGCCCGCUUGUCUCUGCCCCCCUACGGGCCCGGGGCGCCUCGGGCGCCUCGGUGCUGCCUGCAGCCCCCGCGCGCUGCCCCCAGCCCAGCUUGCGCUGUACGGAGCGCGCCCGCCGGAGUCACAGCCCCCUCCUGCCGCGACCUCGCCUGACCCGGCUGUCCGGGCACCCGGAGGCAACUAAGGCCGCCCCCUGCCCAGAUGCCGGCCUGCCUCUCAGCUUGACUUCCCUCCCCGGACUUUGGAGUGUCUUCUGCGUUAGGAUUUGGAUCCCAGUGGCCCUGGAGCGGCAGAAGGGCCGCGGCGAUAGGAAAGCAGCGAAGGAGGCCAGUGGCCGGAGUCUGCCCCAGCCCCCACCCGCGGGUAACCUUGGAGGCGCCCUCGGAGUGCUGGAGUGCAAGUGGCAUGAUUUUGGCUAACUGCAACCUUGACCUCCCAGGCUCAAGGAAUUCUCCCACUUCACCCUCCGGAGUAACUGGGACUACAGGCACAGACUGAGGAAUUGCGCUUGGCCUAAUAAGAAUGAUUCCCCUGGGGGAAAGAAACAGAAGAGCAUUUGACAACUACAUGGGCUGGCAUAAUGGAUUGGAAUUUAAAGGUGCUACAAAUGUGCCACCAGUUUAUCACAUGGGACAUUUUCUCACCGAGUGAAGCAGGAAGCUGGUGGGCCUAGGCCAGGAAGGCAGAGUGAAAUUUCAUGACGCUUAGAAGACAAAGAGCCUUGCUAAAAUUAAGUGAAUGGUCCUGCAACAAAUACACAACAGGUCUCCCUUCUUAAGAAAUCCACCAGAUUGUGAAACUGCAUGGGGAGAGAAGCACGAAAGGAUUAAGUUUAAAACUCCAAAGCACAGAAAAAUGCUGAGGAGACAGGGACUCACGAGGCUUUCAAUCAGAAGCCUGAAAUGGUCACACUUGAGCAUGUUGCUGGCUGGAAAGGCAGAGUAAAAUGUCUUGUGAUUUCAUGGUGUUCAAAUCUCUGAAGGACAGAUGACUCUCCAUUGGUAUUUCAGGCUUUCCCUACAGUAGGCAAGUACUUUGGACCUACCAGUCUUUCAACAAAAAGCUCAGAAGGGUCACCUCUAAGGAACAGGUAUAAAUCAGAGGUGAACUAAGUUUCAUUAAAACUAUACCUCAGCUCCAACCUAGCUCAAUUCCAGAUUGGAUGUGGUGAUUUUCACCUUACCACAUCUAGUUAACAAGGAAAAGUUUGCACCAUCUCUGGGGGAAAAUAGUAUCACCUGUACUUUCUACUAUACACAAUAUAUGCAUAUAGUUAAAAUUAUAACGCAUAUAGGAGGAAGAAAAAGGAUAUCAAUAAUCAAGAUAAAAAACAAACAGAGCCAAAUCCACCCAUGAUCUAUAUGGUGGAAUUAGCAGACAAAUAUUUUAAUUUAAUUUAAUUUUUUUUUUUUUAGAGAUGGGGUUUUGCCAUGUUGGCCAAGCUGGUCUCAAACUCCUGGCCCCAAGUGACCAGCCUGCCUUGGCCUCCCAAAGUGUUGGGAUUUACAGGAGUGAGCCACCAUUCCUGGCCCCAAAAAAUUAAAAAUCACUAUUACAAAUUUUAAAAAAAUAAUUGAAGAAGAGAUAUAAAAGUAAGUGAAAAAGUAGAGUGAAAAUGUCUAGUCAAUUAAAAUUUAUUUAAAAGAAUCAAAUGAACAAUCCAGAAAUGAAAUAAUAAACUAAUCAAAUGGGUUUAAGGACAUAUUAGAAAGACUAGUGAACACAAAAACAGGUCCAAUAAAAAUAUUCAAACUGAACAUAGAAAGAAAGAAAGAAUAAGAAAAACAACAGUAAUAAAAGACAUGCAGGACAGAUUCAAAUCGCCUAACAUAUAUAUAAUUGGAAUUUUGAAUGCAGAAGAGAAAGAGAAUGGGGCUGAAGCAAUAUUUAAAGAAAUAAUGGCCAAGGAUUUUCUUAAAUUGAUUUAAAAAAUGUAUCAGGCCAGGUGCAGUGGCUCACGCAUAUAAUCCCAGAACUUUUGGAAGCCAGUGCAGGUGGAUUGCUUGAACUCUGGAGUUUGAGACCAGUCUUGGCAACAUGGUGAAACCCCAUUUCUACUAAAAAAUACCAAAAAAAACUAGCUGGACGUGGUGGUGUGCACCUGUGGUCCCAGAUACUCGCAAGGCUGAGGUGGGAGGAUUAUCUGAGCCCAGGAAGUUAAGGCUGCAGUGAACCAUAAUUGCACCACUGAACCCAGCUUGGACAACAGAGUGAGACCCUGUCUCAAAAAAUACAUGUAUAUUAAAUAAAAUACAUAUUCAAGAGGUUCAGGAUAAAUGCAAAGAUUACCAUGCCCAGAUACAAUUUGGUAAAACUUCUGAAAUCAGAGAUAAAAAACUAAAAUAUUAAAAUCAGCUAGAAAAAAAUGAAGCAUUAUCUUUAAAAGAGCAACAAUGAGAUUUCCAACUGACUUUUCAGCAGAAGCAACAAAGAAUAUGGAAUGACAUCAUUCACUUGCUAAAAGAAAAAAAUUCCCAACCUAGAAUUCUAUACCAAGAAAAAGUUUUCUUCAAAAUAAUGUGAGAUAGGUUGGGCACGGUGGCUCAUGCCUGUAAUCCCAGCACUUUGGGAGGCCGAGGCGGGCGGAUCACUUGAGGCCGAGAGUUCAAGACCAGCCUGGCCAACAUGGUGCAACCCUGUCUUCACUAAAAAUACAAAAAUUAGCUGGGUAUGGUGGUGCAUGCCUGUAAUUACUCCCAGCUACUUGGGAGGCCAAGGCAGGAGAAUCGCUUGAAUCUGGGGGGCAGAGGUUGCAGUGAGCUGAGAUAGCACCACUACACUCCAGCCUGGGCGACACAGUGAGACUGUGUAUCAUAAAAAAAAAACCAACUUUGGACCAAAGGAAAAAACAAAACCCAGAAAACAAAAACUAAGUGAAUUUAUUUCUAGAAAAUCCACACAGUAAUAAAUUCUAGAAGAAGUUCUUUAGGCUGAAGGAAAAUGAUCCCAGUUGAAGUACAGAGCUGCGGGAGAAAUGAAAAAUAACAGAGUGGUAAAUAUGUGAGUCAGUAUAAAAGUAACCAGAUUUUUUAAAAAGCGACAAUAAUACAGAUGGUUCCCAACUUGCAAUGGUCCGACUUAAGAGUUUUCAACUCUACAAUGGUGCAAAAGCAAUAACAUUCAGUAGAAAUCAUACUUUGAGUACCCAUACAACCAUUCUGUUUUUCAUUUUCAGUAUCAUAUUUGGUAAGUUACAUGAGAUAUUCAACACUUUGUUAUAAAGUAGGCUUUGUGUUAAUUUUGCCCAUGUAGGCUAAGGUAAGUGUCCCGAGCAUACUGAAGGUAGGCUACUCUAAGCUAUGAUGCCAGGUAGAUUAGGUUAUUAAAUGCUUUUUUUUUUUUUUUUUGAGAUGGAGUCUCGCUCUGUCGCCCAGGCUGGAGUGCAAUGGCACGAUCUCGGCUCACUGCAAGCUCCGCCUCUCGGGUUCACGCCAUUCUCCUGCCUCAGCCUCCCAAGUAGCUGGGACUACAGGCGCCCGCCACUGCGCCCAGCUAAUUUUUUGUAUUUUUAGUAGAGACGGGGUUUCACCAUGUUAGCCAGGAUGGUCUUGAUCUCCCGACCUCGUGAUCCACCUGCCUCGGCCUCCCAAGGUGCUGGGAUUACAGGCGUGAGCCACCGCGCCCGGCCGAUUAAAUGCUUUUUUAAAAAAAAAAAAAUAUUGAGACAGGGUCUUGCUCUGUUGCCCAGGCUGGAGUGCAGUGGCAAGAACAGGACUCACUGCAGCCUCAGCUUCCUAGGCUCAAGUAAUCCUCCCGCCUCAGCCUCCUGAGUAACUAGGACCACACGUGCAUGCUACCACAUCUGGCUAAUUUUUUUUUUUUUAAUUUUUGUAGAGGUGGAGUCUCCCCAGAUUUCCCAGGCUGGGUUUUAACUCCUGGACUCAGGCGAUCCUCCCGCCUCAGCCUUCCAAAAUACUGGGAUUAUAGGCGUGAGCCACUGGGUUCGGCCCUAAAUGUAUUUUUGACUUAUGAUAUCUUCAAUUUAGAAUGGAUUUAUCUGAACAUAACCCCAUCAUAAGUUGAGGAGCAUCUAUGGUGUCUUGUGAGGUUUAUUCCAUAUAUAGAAAUAAAAUAUAUGACAACACUACAAAAGUUUGAAGGGGGAUAAAAGGAAUUAAACUGUUGUAAGAUUUCUCUAUUGUUGUAGAAGUACUGAUGUAUUUUUACCGUAUUUACUGCCUUAUUGAUUAGUGAGUAUAAUGAGUCAAAUAUAAAGAGGUCUCGAGAGUAUUGUGUAAUCUGAUAGCUAGUAGCCACAUGUCACUAUGGAGCACCUGAUGUGACUAGCUCAAAUUGAGAUGCAAUGUAAGAAUAAAACAUCCACCAUAUUUGGAAGCUGUAGUAUGAAAGAAUGUAAAAUAUCUCAUAACAAUUUUUUAUAUUAAAUAUGUCUUGAAAUGAUAGUAUGUUGGGUACAUUUGGUUAAAUAAAAACAUUAUUCAAAUUAAUGUAACCUCUCUUUUUGCUUUUUUAAUGUGACUA
rnacentral:lncRNA from 10 species